ACUUUGGUGGUGUAGUGGUCAGCGCGCUCGGCGCGUAUUCGAGAGGUCCGUGGUUCGAGUCCCGGCGAGGGCA
rnacentral:tRNA from 1 species